rnacentral:rRNA from 1 species
UUAGUUAGUUGGCGGGGUAACGGCCCACCAAGACGAUGAUCAGUAGCUGGUCUGAGAGGACGAACAGCCACACUGGAACUGAGACACGGUCCAGACUCCUACGGGAGGCAGCAGUGAGGAAUUUUGCUCAAUGGGCGCAAGCCUGAAGCAGCGACGCCGCGUGAAUGAUGAAGUCUUUCGGGAUGUAAAGUUCUGUCAACAGGGACAAUGAUGAUGGUACCUGUGGAGGAAGCACCGGCAAACUAUGUGCCAGCAGCCGCGGUAAUACAUAGGGUGCAAGCGUUAUCCGGAUUUACUGGGCGUAAAGCGUAUGUAGGCGGCAUUUUAAGUCAAACUUCAAAUCCCGGGGCUCAACCUCGGUUCGGGUUUGAGACUGGAAUGCUAGAGUUUGGGAGAGGAAAGCGGAACUAACAGUGUAGCGGUGAAAUGCGUAGAUAUUGUUAGGAACACCCGUGGCGAAGGCGGCUUUCUGGAUCAACACUGACGCUGAGAUACGAAAGCGUGGGGAGCAAACAGGAUUAGAUACCCUGGUAGUCCACGCUGUAAACGAUGCACAUUAGGUAUAGGGGGUAUCGACUCCCUCUGUGCCGAAGCUAACGCGUUAAAUGUGCCGCCUGGGGAGUACGGUCGCAAGAUUAAAACUCAAAGGAAUUGACGGGGGCCCGCACAAGCAGUGGAUCAUGUGGUUUAAUUCGACGAUACCCGAAAAACCUUACCAGAACUUGACAUCUGGGGAAUUCUGUAGAAGUACGGAAGUGCCCGCAAGGGAGCCUCAAGACAGGUGGUGCAUGGUUGUCGUCAGCUCGUGUCGUGAGAUGUUAGGUUAAGUCCUGCAACGAGCGCAACCCUCGUGUUGUGUUGCUACAUUUAGUUGAGCACUCUCAACAGACUGCCCGUGGUAAACGGGAGGAAGGUGGGGAUGACGUCAAAUCAUCAUGCCCUUUAUGUUCUGGGCUACACACAUGAUACAAUGGCAAGUACAAAGGGAAGCCAAACCGCAAGGCGGAGCAAAUCUCAAAAAACUUGCCUCAGUUCAGAUUGCAGGCUGCAACUCGCCUGCAUGAAGAUGGA